ACUACACCUGUUAUCAGACAACAGACAAUUUUGUCACUGCUUGGUAAAGGCAGCAUAUCACAUUGAUCUCUCUACCAGAAAAUGCAAGUGACCAAGUCAAGAGGUUUACAGUUAAAAAGCAGCUACAUUAAGUUUUCCAGCUGUUGUGAGUGAGGAUACUUCUCUUCACUUCUCCACUAACCAUGGGAGUAAUAAAGACUGUGAUCCAUAUAGAAUUUUGGAAUGUUUAAAUUAUUU